rnacentral:rRNA from 1 species
UACAGAGGUCCCGAGCGUUGUUCGGAUUUAUUGGGCGUAAAGGGUGUGUAGGAGGUGAGGUAAGUCGGAUGUGAAAUCCCGUCGCUUAACGACGGAACUGCAUACGAUACUGCCUUGCUAGAGGAUUGAAGGGGGUAUCGGAAUUCCAGGUGUAGCAGUGAAAUGCGUAGAUAUCUGGAGGAACACCGGUGGCGAAGGCGGAUACCUGGUAAAUUCCUGACUCUGAAACACGAAAGCUAGGGGAGCAAACGGG